rnacentral:rRNA from 1 species
UACGUAGGGACCAAGCGUUGUUCGGAUUUACUGGGCGUAAAGGGCGCGUAGGCGGCGCGACAAGUCACUUGUGAAAUCUCUGAGCUUAACUCAGAACGGCCAAGUGAAACUGUUGUGCUAGAGUGCAGAAGGGGCAACUGGAAUUCCUGGUGUAGCGGUGAAAUGCGCAGAUAUCAGGAAGAACACCCGUGGCGAAGGCGGCUCUCUGGGACGGUACUGACGCUGAGACGCGAAAGCGUGGGGAGCGAACAGG